GACGAACGCUGGCGGCGUGCUUAACACAUGCAAGUCGAACGAAGUGGCGAACGGGUGAGUAACGCGUAAUCAACCUGCCCUUCAGAGGGGGACAACAGUUGGAAACGACUGCUAAUACCGCAUACUGAAGGAGGGGUUUGCGUCGGAUUAGCUGGUUGGGGGGGGAACGGCCCACCAAGGCGAUGAACAGUAGCCGGGCUGGGAGGGUGAACGGCCACAAUGGGACUGAGACACGGCCCAGACUCCUACGGGGAGCAGGAAGGGGGAAUCUUCCGCAAUGGACGAAAGUCUGACGGAGCAACGCCGCGUGAGUGAUGACGGCCUUCGGGUUGUAAAGCUCUGUUAAUCGGGACGCGGUACCGGAAUAGAAAGCCACGGCUAACUACGUGCCAGCAGCCGCGGUAAUUC
rnacentral:rRNA from 1 species